rnacentral:rRNA from 1 species
UUCAUGAUUGAACCUGAGUUGUCAAUUGAUUCAUUUUCUAAGAGUCGAGUUGUUUGGGAUUGCAGCUCAAAAUGGGUGGUAAAUUUCACCUAAGGCUAAAUAUCUGCGAGAGACCGAUAGCGAACAAGUACCGUGAGGGAAAGAUGAAAAGAACUUUGAAAAGAGAGUUAAAAAGUACGUGAAAUUGUUGAAAGGGAAACGAUUGAAGUCAGUCAUGCUAGCGAGGAAUCAACUUGGUGGUGUGAGUCUCUCAUCUCCUCCCUGUGCACUUCCUCGUCUGGCAGGUUAGCAUCAAUUUUGAUUGUCAUCAAAUAAUUGGGGUAAUGUGGCUUCGCUUCGGUGGAGUGUUAUAGACCCUGGUGGAUGUGGCGAUUGGGAUUGAGGAUUGCAGCGGAUGCCUCUUGGCUAGUCACCUGGCUUCUGGCGGUCACCUCGCUUUUGACAGCUUGCUGAUGAUCGUGGGACCCGACAGUCUAGAAGUUAGAGUGAUCUUAAAUU